rnacentral:rRNA from 1 species
GAACAGGGAUGAGCUCAAAUUUAAACAUCUGGCGUCUUUCAGGCGUCCGAGUUGUAAUCUAUAGAGGCGUUUUCCGCGCCUGGACCGCGUCCAAGUCUCUUGGAAUAGAGUAUCAAAGAGGGUGACAAUCCCGUACUUGACGCGACAACCGGUGCUCUGUGAUACGUUCUCAAUGAGUCGAGUUGUUUGGGAAUGCAGCUCUAAAUGGGUGGUAAAUUCCAUCUAAGGCUAAAUAUUGGCGAGAGACCGAUAGCGAACAAGUACCGUGAGGGAAAGAUGAAAAGCACUUUGGAAAGAGAGUUAAACAGCACGUGAAAUUGUUAAAAGGGAAACGAUUGAAGUCAGUCGUGUGAAAGGUAUUCAGCCGUCUCUGGCGGUGUAUUUGCCUUUCACGGGUCAACAUCAGUUUGAUCCGGUAGAAACAAGGCGGGAGGAAGGUGGCACCCUCGGGUGUGUUAUAGCCUCCUGUCAUAUGUGCCGGACCAGACUGAGGAACGCAGCUUGCCGCAAGGCCGGGGUUCGCCCACGUACAAUGCUUAGGAUGUUGACAUAAUGGCUUUAA